rnacentral:rRNA from 1 species
CCUACGGGAGGCAGCAGUGAGGAAUAUUGGUCAAUGGGCGGGAGCCUGAACCAGCCAAGUCGCGUGAGGGAAGAAGGUCCUAUGGAUUGUAAACCUCUUUAGGCGGGGAGCAAUGCCGGGCACGCGUGCCCGGAGGGAGAGUACCCGCAGAAUAAGCAUCGACUAACUCCGUGCCAGCAGCCGCGGUAAUACGGAGGAGGCGAGCGGUAUCCGGAUUUAUUGGGUUUACAGGGUGCGUAGGCGGAUUUUUAAGUCAGCGGUAAAAUGUCCGGGCUCAACCCGGGCCGGCCGUUGAAACUGGGGAUCUUGAGUGGGCGAGAGGUAUGCGGAAUGCGUGGUGUAGCGGUGAAAUGCGUAGAUAUCACGCAGAACUCCGAUUGCGAAGGCAGCAUACCGGCGCCCGACUGACGCUGAGGCACGAAAGCGUGGGGAGCGAACAGGAUUAGAUACCCCUGUAGUC